UACGUAGGGGGCAAGCGUUGUCCGGAUUCAUUGGGCGUAAAGAGCGUGUAGGCGGCCAGGUAGGUCGGUUGUGAAAAACUGGAGGCUCAACCUUCAGAGGUCGACCGAAACCAUCUGGCUAGAGUCCGGGAGAGGAGAGUGGAAUUCCUGGUGUAGCGGUGAAAUGCGCAGAUAUCAGGAAGAACACCUAUGGCGAAGGCAGCUCUCUGGGACGGUACUGACGCUGAGACGCGAAAGCGUGGGGAGCGAACAGG
rnacentral:rRNA from 1 species